rnacentral:misc_RNA from 1 species
GCAAACUUGGUCAUUUAGAGGAAGUAAAAGUCGUAACAAGGUUUCCGUAGGUGAACCUGCGGAAGGAUCAUUAUCGAAUGACUCUUUGUCGCCUCGCGCUGUGCGCUCACCCGCACGCCCCGGCGACAAUCUGCUCUUUCCUCACACCUGUGCACCCUCGGGCGGCCUGGCCGUCUCUUUUCUUCACCUUUUACCACCUGUCUCGAAUGUAUAUUGAACGUGUGUAACACAAAUAACAACUUUCAACAACGGAUCUCUUGGCUCCCGCAUCGAUGAAGAACGCAGC